GCUCGAUGUCACCUGGCUGCUCGAUGUCACCUGCUGAUGGGUGUCACCCGGUGUCACGAUGUCACCCAGAAGCGGUGUCACCCCAUGGCUCAGUGGAUGUCACCCGGUGGCGGAUGUCAGUCGCUGGCUCGAUGUCACCUGGCUGCUCGAUGUCACCUGCUGAUGGGUGUCACCCGGUGUCACGAUGUCACCCACAGUCAGUUGUCUUCAGCCCUUCCGGUGGUGAAUGUCACCCGGUGGCACGAUGUCACCCGGAAGCGUUGUCACCCCAUGGCUCAAUGAUGUCACCUGGUGGCAGGUGUCACCCGGUGUGACCUCAGGACACGCGUGGCCUUUGCUUAGUACCCGAAUGGGAUAAAUUAUCCCCCU
rnacentral:lncRNA from 1 species